CCUCGUCGGGAGCUCAGAGGCGGGGCCCGCCGCAAAGCCUCUUAAGCUCCGCCGGAGGCUGACGAGAGCCACGAGGCAGUUGUCGGGGUUCCUUGGCUGCGGAGCUGGUUCUGUGCCGUUGUUCGGGUAUCGUGCCGCUGGGGUUGGAAAGGUACGUGCGGGGCUACUUUGAAAUGAAACCUUGUUAACGUAGCGUUCUCUGUUGCUUUGUUUCAGGUUUCAGCGAUACCGCGCGCAGUGAGGAUCAGCCCGACCCGCUGACCGCUCGGAGGGGAGUCACAAGGGCCGUCAAGCCGCCGAUUUUGCGUUGGCGUAGGGCUGCUUUCGGGCUCUUCAGAGCUGGAGGGCCGUCGCCGCCUAGCUUCCAUCGCAUUUUCGACCGAGGACCAUGGCAGAGCAUCUCGUCGACCCCAACCGGCGAGCGCCUGGGGACCCUGGCUGAGGACUGGGUGCCAGCAUGUGUGAUGCCUGGGUCCUUCCUUGAGGUUGUUGUUCAGCUACUCUUAUGAGGAGAACAUCAACAGUGGCUGUGAGCUGAGCUCUUCUGAAAGCUGUAAAGGAGGAGGUGGCAGAGCUGACUGGAGAGGCAUGCCUCAAAAAUUCCAGUAGCAACUUUGCUUGCAAUUUGCAUGGUGGGAAGCAGAUGACAACAUAUCUAUUUCACUGAAGAAUUAUCAGCUUGGUGCAGUUUUUUUUGGAAAGACUGUUUCUAUUAAAGGCGUAAAUGCUCUCUUACUUUUAACAAUGAGUAUGCUUAAAAAAAUAUCUGUACUAAAAUGGAAUGACUAGGCUUAGCUAGCUGAAGUUCUUUAGAGUGGAGUGGAUACCUGUCUGUCUUCAACUUUACUUAAAACAAAGAAAAUCCUCACCACACAGAAGGAUGCGCUGCCUAUUUCUGCAUUCUGGCCUUGUUCCCUUGGCUGCUGACAUUAGCUUACUCAUCUCAGGAAAUGAGAAAGAGGAGAAAAACUACUGCUUCUGUAAUCGGCUGUUUUGUGUUGGAUGUUCUGUAAGAGAUUCAAGCAAGACUUAAUAAAAAAAAACAAAUAGUUUUGAGGUAGAUGAUAGUAAUGUAAUUCAACAGACUUGCUUUAUUUAACAACUGAAAGCACUGUGUUUCCAGUGUUUGUAUCAAUAAAGCUGA